GUUUGAUCAUGGCUCAGAACGUACGCUGGCGGCACGCCUAACACAUGCAAGUCGAACGAAGUAGCAAUACUUAGUGGCAGACGGGUGAGUAACAUGUGGGUAUCUACCCUUUGGCCUGGAAUAACACGAGGAAACUUGUGCUAAUACCGGAUAAGUCUUUACGGAGAAAGCUUUAUGCACCAUUGGAUGAGCCCGCACUUGAUUAGUUUGUUGGUAGGGUAAUGGCCUACCAAGACUAUGAUCAAUAGCUGAUUUGAGAGGAUGAUCAGCCACAUUGGGACUGAGACACGGCCCAAACUCCUACGGGAGGCAGCAGUGGGGAAUCUUGCACAAUGGAGGAAACUCUGAUGCAGCGAUGCCGCGUGAGUGAAGAAGGCCUUUGGGUUGUAAAGCUCUUUCGUCGGGGAAGAAAAUGACUGUACCCGAAUAAGAAGGUCCGGCUAACUUCGUGCCAGCAGCCGCGGUAAUACGAAGGGACCUAGCGUAGUUCGGAAUUACUGGGCUUAAAGAGUUCGUAGGUGGUUGAAAAAGUUGGUGGUGAAAUCCCAGAGCUUAACUCUGGAACUGCCAUCAAAACUUUUCAGCUAGAGUAUGAUAGAGGAAAGCAGAAUUUCUAGUGUAGAGGUGAAAUUCGUAGAUAUUAGAAAGAAUACCAAUUGCGAAGGCAGCUUUCUGGAUCAUUACUGACACUGAGGAACGAAAGCAUGGGUAGCGAAGAGGAUUAGAUACCCUCGUAGUCCAUGCCGUAAACGAUGUGUGUUAGACGUUGGAAAUUUAUUUUCAGUGUCGCAGGGAAACCGAUAAACACACCGCCUGGGGAGUACGACCGCAAGGUUAAAACUCAAAUGAAUUGACGGGGACCCGCAAGAUCGGAAGAGCACACGUCUGAACUCCAGUCACAAUA
rnacentral:rRNA from 1 species